rnacentral:rRNA from 1 species
GCCCAUAUAAGCCCAAACACCAAUCCAAACCCUACCAACCCCCUAACCCAAAACAUUUGCCCAAGCCAGUAGAUGCGAUCGAACCCCGCCCAAUCGACGCAAUAGAAAAGUACUGUGAAGGAAAGAUGAAAAACCAUUAAAUACAAGCCUAAAAAAGCAGAGAUCAACACCCGUACCUUUUGCAUUAUGGUCUAGCAAGCACCUAAGACAAAGUAAUACUACAGCCUACACCCCCGAACACAAGUGAUCUACUCUAUGGCAGUUGUACCGAACGAACUCGUCUCUGUAGCAAUAGAGUGAGAAGACCAAAAAGUAGUGGCCAAAAACCAAACGAACUUGUCGAUAGCUGGUUAUCCGAAAAAUGAAUAUUAGUUCACUCCUGCCAACAACAUAUCACCCGCUAUGAUAAAUAUUCCUGACAGGAAAUAGUCAAUGGGGGCACAGCUCCACUGACAUGGGAAACAGCCCAAAAUAGAGAGAACACCCUACUAUACCACCAGUAGGCCUUUAAACAGCCACCCAAAAAUAUCACGUCAUAGUAAUUAACCUAAAAUACCACCAAAAACAAAAACCUCCUACCCACCAAUCGGAUAAUUCUACAACCGUAGAAGAACUAAUGCUAGAACAAGUAACUUGAACCAUUUCUUAAGACAGACUCUUAAUACUCAACAGACCAAAAUAGGAACAAUGAUAUUUACCUACAACACAUUUAACCGACUGUAUACCCAACUAUAGGACUGUCAUACACCUAGGCUCAAAACCUUAAAAGGAACUCGGCAACCCCCUUCUCCAACUGUUUACCAAAAACAUAGCUUCUAGCUCAACAAGUAUUAGAAGUACCGCCUGCCCUGUGGAAUCCUAAACGGCCGCGGCAUUAAAACCGUGCAAAGGUAGCACAAUCACUUGUCCCUUAAAUGAGGACGCGUAUGAAAGGCAACAUGAGAGAAGACCUGUCUCCUAAGGACUGCCAAUGAAAUUGAACUACCAGUUCAAAAGCUGGUAUUAAAAAGCAAGACAAAAAGACCCUGUGGAGCUUUAAUUAACUGCUUUACACAAUAAAACCAGUAAUUUCAGUUGGGACAACUUUAGAAAAAAUAAACUUCCUAUCUACCAAGACUAACUAGUCCACAAACACAUCACGACCCAGUAACACUGAUUAACGAAACAAGCUACCCCAGGGAUAACAGCGCCACCUUCUCAAAGAGUUCAUAUCAACAAGAAGACCUACGACCUCGAUGUUGGAUCAGGGUACCCAGACGGUGUAGCAGCUGUCAACGGUUCGUUUGUUCAACGAUUAAUACCCUACGCGAUCUGAGUUCAGACCGGAGUAAUCCAGGUCGGCCUUUAUCUGCUACUAUCACCCCAACCAGUACGAAAGGACCGUUGAGACAAGACCAAUUAUCACAUCACGUCUUCUUAACAUAAUGAACUAAACUAAAAUAUAAUAUUCACCUCCAACCCAAGAUAAGGACUCACACCCGGCACUCCGGUGCUCA